CGGUAGUUAGGUGGACGGGAACGGGUAAGUAACAUAGCGGAACGUACCAAGUAAGGGGGGAAUAACUAGUCGAAAGACUGGCUAAUACCGCAUACCGCCCUGGGGGGAAAGGCGGGGGAUCGAAAGACCUCGUGUUAUUGGAGCGGCCGAUAUCUGAUUAGCUAGUUGGUGGGGUAAAGGCCUACCAAGGCGACGAUCAGUAGCUGGUCUGAGAGGACGACCAGCCACACUGGAACUGAGACACGGUCCAG
rnacentral:rRNA from 1 species